UAUCUCUUUUAAUUAGAUCAAUUUUUGCUUUAGCUUGAUCUGAGAUCAGGAUGGCUACCCCUGCUUUUUUGACUUCACCUGAAGCAUAGUAGAUUUUGCUCCAACCUUUUACCUUUAACCUGCAUGUAUCUCCCCGCUUCAGGUGUGUUUCCUGUAAACAACAUAUUGUAGGAUUAUGGCUUUUAAUCCAUUCUGCUAACCGCUUCCUCUUUAUGGGGGAGUUUACCCUGUUCACGUUUAUGGUUAGAAUGACCAAUUCUGUCUUACUUGCCAUCUUGUUAACCCCGGUUUAUGUUUUUCUCCCUUCUUUCCCCUUUCCCCCCCUUCCCAGUAUUAAGCUUGUGAGCACCACUUGCUUCUCACAGCCCUCCCUUUUUAGUAUCCCUCCCCCCGCCUUAGAGUUCCUCCCCCUAUCUUACCCUUUUCCCUCCCAGUUCCCGUAUUCCCUUCCGCUUAACUUAUUCCUUCCCUUUUCACUUUUCCCUUCUCACUUUUCAAUGAGAUGGGAGAAGUUUCACCAUAGAUUGAAUAUGUCUUAAGAUUUUUCACUUAAAGCCAAUUCUGAAGGCAGUAAGAUUCCCACUAUAUUCAUCCCCCUCCAUUCUUUCUCUCAGAUAUAAUAGGUUUCCUAUGCCUCUUCAUGAGAUGUACUACCCCCACUUUACCCUUUUUCUGGUACAAUGUCCUUUCCACAUCAAUUUCUAGAACAAGGUAUACAUGUAUUCUUUAUACAUCUAUAUAGUCAAAACAUAGUUCCCAAGAUUAAUCUUUACCUUUUUAGAUUUCUCUUGAGUUCUAUAUUUGUAGAUCAAACUUUUUGUUAAGUUCUGGUUUUUUCAUCAGAAAUAGAUGAAAUUCGCGUACUUCGUUGAAUGUCCAUCUUCUUCCCUGGAAAAAGAUGCUCAUUCUCGCUGGGUAAGUUAUUUUUGGUUGCAUACCAAGUUCCUUAGCCUUUCGGAAUAUCAUAUUCCAGGCCCUUCGAUCUUUUAAUGUGGAUGCUGCCAGAUCCUGGGUGAUCCUUAUUGUGGCUCCUUGAUACUUGAAUUGGGUUUUUCUAGCCGCUUGCAAUAUUUUUUCCUUCAUCUGAGGGUUCUGGCAUUUGGCCACUAUAUUCCUUGGUAUUUUGAUUUUAGGAUCCCUUUCAGUGGGUGAUCGAUGAAUCCUUUCAAUGUUUAUUUUUUCCUCUGUUCCUGUGACUUCUGGGCAGUUCUCUUUGAUAAUUUCCUGGAAAAUAGUGUCCAGGCUCUUUUUUUCAUCAUGUUUUUCUGGAAGUCCAAUGAUUCUCAGAUUGUCUCUCCUGGAUCUGUUUUCCAGGUCUGUUGUCUUCCCCAGAAGGUAUUUCACAUUUUUCUCCAUUGUUUGAUUUUUUUGGAUUUGCUUGACUGAUUCUUCUUGUCUCCUCGAGUCAUUCAAUUCCACUAGUUCAAGUCUGAUUUUCAGUGAAGUAUUCUCUUCACUCACUUUUUAAAAAUCUUUUUCUAAUUGUCCAAUUGAGUUCUUUUGUUCUGUGGAAUUUUUUUCCAUUUCGCCAAUUUUGUUUUCCAGUUCACCAAUCCUAUUUUUCAAGGAUUUUACUUCUUUAUCCACUCUCUCUUUAACUUUCUCCAGGCUCUUUUGCCAAGCCUCCCUCUCCUUUUCCCAAGCCUCCCUCUCCUUUUCCCAAGCUUCCCUCUCCUUUUGCCAAGCCUCACUCUGCUUUCCCCAUUUUUCUUCUAGCUCCCUUGUGAGAGCCUUUUUAAUCACUUCUAUGAGGUUCAUCUGUGCUGAGGAACAGAUGAUCUCCUCCUUUGGGGAUUCACCUGGGGACUGCCUGUUUUUAGUCUCCUCAGGCUUUAGAGUCUGCUCUCUAUCUGUGUAGAAGCUGUCAAGGGUUAAAGUCCUCUUCAGCUUCUUGCUCAUUCUGUCUAUUAAUCAGAGACAAACUACCAAAGAAAAACAGAAAAAACAGGAGUCUUUCUUUGGGGGAGGGGUUGGAUAUGUUAUCGAGCUUCCUCUACAGACUGCAGGGGGCAGCAGUGAGGCACUAGCAGGACUGUGUGCGCCUGAGCCCAGAGCGUGGUGAGUCACUGUGGGGGGGGAAAGAAGGGGGGGGGGGGCGGCCAGGUCCCGGGAGACUCCAGCUGUUUGGGGUUGUAUUCUUCACCCCCGGUGUUUUUAGCUUCUCUGCUGGGCUGCUGACUUGCUGCUGGAGCAAAGUAUCCAAACCUGUAGCGAAACUCUCCCUGUAGAGACAGCUGCGAUCACUCCCCAUCCCCUCUCCAGUCUGCUCCCGUGCUCUCACUGCCGCUGCCCGCCGCCUGCGCCCGAUCUAAAACUGCCCCAGCCCUCCAGUAAAGACAGACCUUUCUUGGCGGAUCUCAAGGAUGGCUUCUCUUGGUAACUAUAUGUGGGUUUUUUUCAGUCAAGCAUUGAUUCAGAGGCUUGUAAUGAGGUGGAUAGUGAGAGAAAGCGUGGAGCUUAUGCAGCUGUGAGCCUCCUCUCCGCCAUCUUAACCGGAAGUCUUAGCAUCUAAAUUCUUAAAAGAGAAAUUAAGAGAGCUGCAAGAUGAAAUAGAUAGUAAAACUAUAAUAGUGGGAGAUCUUAACCUUGCACUCUCAGAAUUAGAUAAAUCAAACCACAAAAUAAAUAGGAAAGAAGUCAAAGAGGUAAAUAGAAUAUUAGAAAAGUUAGAUGUGAUAGAUCUCUGGAGAAAAUGUAAUGGAGACAGAAAGGAAUACACUUUCUUUUCAGCAGUUCAUGGAACCUAUACAAAAAUUGACCAUAUAUUAAGACAUAAAAACCUCAAACUCAAAUGCAGUAAGGCAGAAAUAGUAAAUGCAUCCUUUUCAGACCACGAUGCAAUGAAAAUGACAUUCAACAAAAAACCAGGGGGAAGUAGACCAAAAAAUAAUUGGAAACUAAAUAAUCUCAUACUAAAGAAUGAUUGGGUGAAACAGCAAAUCAUAGACAUAAUUAAUAACUUCACCCAAGAAAACGAUAAUUAAUAAGACAUCAUACCAAAAUGUAUGGGAUGCAGCCAAAGCGGUAAUAAGGGGAAAUUUCAUAUCUCUAGAGGCCUAUUUGUAUAAAAUAGAGAAAGAGAAGGUCAAUGAAUUGGGUUUGCAACUAAAAAUGCUAGAAAAGGAACAAAUUAAAAACCCCCAGUCAAACACUAAAUUUGAAAUUCUAAAAAUAAAAGGAGAGAUCAAUAAAAUUGAAAGUAAAAAAACUAUUGAAUUAAUUAAUAAAACUAAGAGUUGGUUCUAUGAAAAAACCAACAAAAUAGACAAACCCUUAGUAAAUCUGAUUUAAAAAAAGGAAAGAGGAAAAUCAAAUUGUUAGUCUUAAAAAUGAAAAGGGAGAACUCGCCACUAACGAAGAGGAAAUUAGAGCAAUAAUUAGGAGUUACUUUGCCCAACUUUAUGCCAAUAAAUUCGACAACUUAAAAGAAAUAGAAAAAUACCUCCAAAAAUAUAGCUUGCCCAAACUAACAGAGGAAGAAGUAAAUAUCCUGAACAGUCCCAUCUCAGAAAAAGAAAUAGAACAAACUAUCAAUCAACUCCCUAAGAAAAAAUCCCCAGGACCAGAUGGAUUUACAUGUGAAUUCUACCAAACAUUUAAAGAACAAUUAACUCCAAUGUUAUAUAAACUAUUUGAAAAAAUAGGGAUUGAAGGAGUCCUACCAAACUCCUUUUAUGACACAGACAUGGUACUGAUACCAAAACCAGGUAGGCUGAAAACAGAGAAAAAAAAUUAUAGACCAAUCUCCCUAAUGAAUAUUGAUGCUAAAAUCUUAAAUAAAAUAUUAGCAAAAAGAUUACAGAAAAUCAUCACCAGGAUAAUACACUAUGACCAAGUAGGAUUUAUACCAGGAAUGCAGGGCUGGUUCAAUAUUAGGAAAACUAUUAGCAUAAUUGACUACAUCAAUAACCAAACAAACAAAAA